CUACGGGAGGCUGCAGUGGGGAAUAUUGGACAAUGGGGGAAACCCUGAUCCAGCAAUGCCGCGUGUGUGAAGAAGGCCUGCGGGUUGUAAAGCACUUUCGGUUGGGAGGACUGCUUCUAGCACUAAUAUUGUCGGAAGUUGACGUUACCUUCAGAAGAAGCACCGGCUAACUCCGUGCCAGCAGCCGCGGUAAUACGGAGGGUGCAAGCGUGAAUCGGAAUUACUGGGCGUAAAGCGCGCGUAGGCGGCUAGAUCAGUCGGGUGUGAAAGCCCCGGGCUUAACCUGGGAACUGCAUCCGAUACUGUCUAGCUUGAGUACAGGAGAGGAGGGUGGAAUUCCACAUGUAGCGGUGAAAUGCGUAGAUAUGUGGAGGAACACCAAUGGCGAAGGCAGCUCUCUGGCCUGAUACUGACGCUGAGGUGCGAAAGCGUGGGGAGCAAACAGGAUUAGAUACCCUCGUAGUC
rnacentral:rRNA from 1 species